AUGGUGUGGAGAAACCAGACCUUCAGCUCUGACUUCAUCCUGUUGGGAAUCUUCAAUUACAGCCCCACCCACAUCUUCCUCUUCUCACUGGUCUUGGGCAUCUUUUCAGUGGCCUUCUUGGGAAACACUGUCAUGAUUCUCCUCAUCUACCUGGACACCCACCUCCACAUCUCCAUGUACUUUCUCCUCAGCCAACUCUCCCUCAUGGACGUCAUGCUCAUCUGCACUACUGUACCCAGGAUGGCCUUCAACUACUUGUCUGGCAGCAAGUCAAUAUCACUGGCAGGUUGUGGAGCUCAGAUAUUCUUCUAUGUGUCCUUGCUUGGAGCUGAAUGUUUCCUGUUGGCUGUCAUGGCCUAGGACCGCUAUGUGGCUAUAUGCCACCCACUUCGAUACACCAUCCUCAUGAAUCAGAAACUCUGUGUUCUCAUGACUGUUGCUUCCUGGAUCUUGGGCUCCCUUGAUGGCAUUAUUGUGCUUGUAGAAGUCCUGUCACUCUCUUACUGCAGCUCUCUAGAAAUUCAUCACUUUUUCUGUGAUGUUGCUGCCCUUUUCCCUCUAUCUUGCACAGACAUCUCUGCUUUUGAAAGACUGCUUUUCAUCUGCUGUGUGGUGAUGCUAAUAUUACCAGUCUCUGUGAUCAUAAUUUCCUAUUCACAUGUCCUCCGAGCUGUCAUCCACAUGAGCUCUACAGAAAGUCACCGCAAAGCCUUCACCACCUGUUCCUCCCACCUGUCUGUGGUUGGAUUCUACUACGGUGCUGUUAUGUUCAUGUACAUGAGACCAGCUUCUAACCACACACCAGACCAGGACAAGAUAGUAUCUAUCUUCUACACCAUCCUCACCCCCAUGCUGAACCCUCUCAUCUACAGCCUCCUCAACAAAGAGGUAUCCAGGGGACUUCAGAAACUAUUGAGGAAAGGAAAGUUAAUGUAA